rnacentral:rRNA from 1 species
GAUUGAACGCUGGCGGCAUGCUUUACACAUGCAAGUCGAACGGUAACAGGCCGCAAGGUGCUGACGAGUGGCGAACGGGUGCGUAAUGCAUCGGAACGUGCCCAGUCGUGGGGGAUAACUACUCGAAAGAGUAGCUAAUACCGCAUACGAUCUAUGGAUGAAAGCGGGGGACCGUAAGGCCUCGCGCGAUUGGAGCGGCCGAUGUCAGAUUAGGUAGUUGGUGGGGUAAAGGCUCACCAAGCCAACGAUCUGUAGCUGGUCUGAGAGGACGACCAGCCACACUGGGACUGAGACACGGCCCAGACUCCUACGGGAGGCAGCAGUGGGGAAUUUUGGACAAUGGGCGCAAGCCUGAUCCAGCAAUGCCGCGUGCAGGAAGAAGGCCUUCGGGUUGUAAACUGCUUUUGUACGGAACGAAACGGCUCUGGUUAAUACCCGGGGCUAAUGACGGUACCGUAAGAAUAAGCACCGGCUAACUACGUG